rnacentral:rRNA from 1 species
AAUGGGCGCAAGCCUGACGGAGCAACGCCGCGUGGGGGACGAAGGCCUUCGGUCGUAAACUCCUGUCAGCGGGAAAGAGGGGCUUUCCGGUGAAGUAGCCGGGGGGUCGUGACGGUACUCGCAGAGGAAGCCACGGCCAACUCCGUGCCAGCAGCCGCGGUAAUACGGAGGUGGCAAGCGUUGUUCGGAAUCACUGGGCGUAAAGGGCGCGUAGGCGGGGUCGGAAGUCGGGUGUGAAAGCCCCGGGCUCAACCCGGGAACGGCGCUCGAGACUCCGGCUCUUGAGUCCCGGAGAGGCGGGUGGAAUUCCUGGUGUAGCGGUGAAAUGUGUAGAGAUCAGGAGGAACACCGGUGGCGCAGGCGGCCCGCUGGACGGAGACUGACGCUGAGGCGCGAAAGCGUGGGGAGCAAACGGGAUUAGAUACCCCGGUAGUCCACGCGGUAAACGAUGGGGGCUAGGUGUGGGGGGUAUCGACCCCCUCCGUGCCGAAGCUAACGCAUUAAGCCCCCCGCCUGGGGAGUACGGCCGCAAGGUUG